rnacentral:tRNA from 1 species
GGAGACUGUGGUUCAGGGGCAGAGCAUCUGCUUAGCAUGCAGAAUGUCCAGGUUUCAGUCCCCUGGUACCUCCA